rnacentral:tRNA from 1 species
GUUAAUGUAGCUUAAUCCAAAGCAAAGCACUGAAAAUGCUUUAGAUGGACUUUUAUGUAGUCCCAUAAACA